UACGUAGGGUGCAGGCGUUAAUCGGAAUUACUGGGCGUAAAGCGUGCGCAGGCGGCUUUGCAAGACAGGUGUGAAAUCCCCGGGCUUAACCUGGGAACUGCAUUUGUGACUGCAUGGCUGGAGUGCGGCAGAGGGGGAUGGAAUUCCGCGUGUAGCAGUGAAAUGCGUAGAUAUGCGGAGGAACACCGAUGGCGAAGGCAAUCCCCUGGGCCUGCACUGACGCUCAUGCACGAAAGCGUGGGGAGCAAACAGG
rnacentral:rRNA from 1 species